GUCACAGUCAGGCCUAGGACACCGCCCUUUCACGGCGGUAACAGGGGUUCGAAUCCCCUAGGGGACG
rnacentral:tRNA from 1 species